AUUGAACGCUGGCGGCAGGCCUAACACAUGCAAGUCGAACGAGUGGCGGACGGGUGAGUAAUGUCUGGGAAACUGCCUGAUGGAGGGGGAUAACUACUGGAAACGGUAGCUAAUACCGCAUACCAUCGGAUGUGCCCAGAUGGGAUUAGCUAGUUGGUGGGGUAACGGCGCACCUAGGCGACGAUCCCUAGCUGGUCUGAGAGGAUGACCAGCCCCACCGGAACUGAGACACGGUCCAGACUCCUACCGGGAGGAGCAGGGGGGAAAUUUGCACAAUGGGCGGAAACCUGGUGCAGCCAUUCCGCGUGUAUUGAGAGGGCCUUCCGGUUGUAAAGCUCGUUAAUCGGGACGACGGUACCCGAAAAGAAAGCCACGGCUAACUACGUGCCAGCAGCCGCGGUAAUAC
rnacentral:rRNA from 1 species